rnacentral:rRNA from 1 species
ACGGGUGAGUAACACGUGGGCAACCUGCCCUUGAGACUGGGAUAACUUCGGGAAACCGGAGCUAAUACCGGAUAAUAUAAGGAACCUCCUGGUUCCUUAUUGAAAGAUGGUUUCGGCUAUCACUUAAGGAUGGGCCCGCGGCGCAUUAGCUAGUUGGUGAGGUAACGGCUCACCAAGGCGACGAUGCGUAGCCGACCUGAGAGGGUGAUCGGCCACACUGGGACUGAGACACGGCCCAGACUCCUACGGGAGGCAGCAGUAGGGAAUCUUCCACAAUGGACGAAAGUCUGAUGGAGCAACGCCGCGUGAGUGAUGAAGGCCUUCGGGUCGUAAAGCUCUGUUGUUAGGGAAGAACAAGUGCGAGAGUAACUGCUCGCACCUUGACGGUACCUAACCAGAAAGCCACGGCUAACUACGUGCCAGCAGCCGCGGUGAUACGUAGGUGGCAAGCGUUAUCCGGAAUUAUUGGGCGUAAAGCGCGCGCAGGUGGUUUCUUAAGUCUGAUGUGAAAGCCCACGGCUCAACCGUGGAGGGUCAUUGGAAACUGGGGAACUUGAGUGCAGAAGAGGAAAGUGGAAUUC